rnacentral:rRNA from 1 species
GACGAACCGAGCGAACGUUGUUCGGAAUCACUGGGCUUAAAGGGCGCGUAGGCGGCGUUUUAAGUCAGGGGUGAAAUCCUGGAGCUCAACUCCAGAACUGCCUUCGAUACUGGCAAUCUCGAGUCCGGAAGAGGUGAGUGGAACUCCUAGUGUAGAGGUGGAAUUCGUAGAUAUUCGGCAAGAACACCAGUGGCGAAGGCGGCUCACUG